rnacentral:lncRNA from 1 species
CGGGGCAGAUCGCUUGUAGUAGAAGCUCGGAUGGAGAUCGAUUGUCGUAGAAGUUUGGAGUAGAUCGCUUACUGUAGAAGCCCGGAGCAAACUUCUUGCAGUAGAAGCUCGGAUGAAAUCCGAAGGGCGAUCGACCGUCAUAGAAACUUGGAUGGAGUCUGGUUACUGUAGAAAGUCGACUGAUAAUAAAGCCCGAAGAGCAUUU